AUCUUUGCGCUUGGGGCAGUGACGCAGUCAAUGAGGUAUUAACCGAGGCGCGUCAAUUGCUGGUUGAAAAUCAUGAAUGGGCCCAAUUCGUCACUUCAAACUCUCCGGCAUCUCAAGUGCGAGCGCAAUGGAUGUCACAUGUCAGAUACCCUGUUCAUGGG
rnacentral:snRNA from 14 species